AUGGUGGGUGCAGAUAGGAGUGACUGCUUCAGGCAUUUUUAUAACAGAAUAAAAGAAAAACUGAAGGGAUGGAUGGAGAAACAAUUGUCUACUGAGGGGAAAGAGAUAUUACUUAAAUCUAUAGCCCAUGCCAUCCCAGUCUUUGUGAUGUCUGUUUUCAGCCUGCCCAAGGGCCUAUGCAAAGAGAUAACUGAUUUGAUAGCACAAUUUUGGUGGGGGGAUGAUGAGUAACACAAAAGAAUGCACUGGUAUACAUGGUGGAAGCUUUGCUACCCAAAAAGUGAGGCGGGUAUGGGGUUCAGAGAUCUCUAUUCUUUUAAUCUUGCCAUGCUCUCAAAGCAAGUUUGGCGGUUGAUCACUAACCCGGAUUCCCUAUGUGCAAGAGUAUUGAAAGAUAAAUACUUCCCCAAUGAAAGUUUAUUACAAGCUACCCUGAAGAGUGGUGCUUCGUUUACGUGGCAGAGCAUUAUGAAAGGUCUUGAAACAUUUAAGUUGGGGUAUAUUUGGAGGGUUGGUACCGGUGAGAACAUUAACAUAUGGAGCGACCCCUGGAUACCGUCUAGUCUGGACAGGACAGUUUUAUCGAACCGGGGGCAAACACUGAUAUCACAAGUUCAUGAUCUAAUUGACCCUAUGACUGGUUUUUGGGACGAGGAACUGAUCAGAUCUAUAUUCAUAUCGGUUGAUGUAGACAGGAUCUUGCAAAUUCCCCUCAACUAUGGGGCUUUCGAGGACUUUAUCGCAUGCCACCCGGAUCAUUAA
rnacentral:rRNA from 1 species